UAAGAAACCACAUAAGGUUCCACUGGGAGCUCGAUGGUCCUUGUCAAGUGCUGUUAAAUACCAACUCAGUGGUGAAAGUGGAAGGUAAAAGUGCCACAAGCAACACUUGUUCGGGCUGAAACGUCGACUGUGCUUCUUCCUAUGGAUGCCGUCUGGCCUGCUGCGUUCCACCAGCAUUUUGUGUUCUUUUGGAGUUACACUCUGACUUCAGUUCUUUGCAGGAAUGGGACGCGCUUUCAGGGCCUCACAACCAGCCACUUUUCGAUAUGCCAAGAUCACGGCCUUAAAGACUAGCGCGCCUUCAGGGUGUUGGAUUUUCAUGGCUCUGAAGGCAGGUGUUUUCAAGGCUGAUACCGCCGCUGACAACUGAUGCAUCACGGGCGAACAAGGAAGAUCGGAAGUAGUUGGCUUGCUGUCGGCAGUGUGCCCAGAGGCACACAGCUCAGAAGAAGUGAUGCAACAGACUUUUAAACACCAUAAAUCAGUGAGUUGUUCUGUUAUGUCUCCCCUCUCGCUGUGAAAUGGGGACAUCUACUUUUGCUUUAUUAGGGGGAGAGAGAGAACCUGUGGUAUGAACAAGUAGUCAUUGGGGUACUGCAAGUCUGUGUCUUUGUUGAUCCUUUGCAGCACACUUGAGUGCUCGGUGGGGGAUGCCGAUGCAUUUUUGCUGGUGGGGGAGGGCCGUUGCUUUGCUGCUGCUUGUGCGUGGGAGGAGGGAGUGGGGGGCUUUGGGUUCUACAUUUAACUGUUGUUCAUUCUUGGGGGCACUCUGUUUUCAUAGAUGAUUACGAAGAAAAAGAAUUUCAGGAUGUAAAUUGUAUACAUUUCUCUGACAUUAAAUGUACCUAUUGAAACCUAUACCUAUUGAAUAAUGGGACAGGCUUGAGAGGCCGAGUGGCCUAGUGUUGCUCCUUUUUCCUUACGCUCUGGAACAGAAAUGUGUAGGCACAUUUAAUGGCGUCAGGGGCCUAGGGCACAGGAAUUGUUGUCUAUAAUUGAUUUACUAUUGUCACAUGUACUGAAGUACAGUGAAAACGUUUGUUUUGCCUGCCAUCCAUACUGAUCAUUUCACCAAAGAAGGUCAGAAAAGUAAUACAAGGGAAAAUUGUUUUCCCUUUAUUAUCUCUCAGGUUUCAACAACUGUCAUUGGUGUUGGUGGGGAGUCAAAUUGUUUUUGUCAUUACAAAGCAUACAGCUGCAGUAAUGUCUUCUGGCAGCUUUGAUCAGAUAAAUCCUGUGAGAAGGGAGUACGAACCAUAAAGGUUUCAGUCAGGAAGUCCAGAGAUUAGGAUCUUGGCAGAUGAGUCCACAGUUAGGACAGUUAAAUUCAAGGUGGCCUAAUCAAUAUAGCAUAACGUCAGUAGAGGUCGUAGAAUUGGCAAGCAGGGCCACAAGGGAUUUGCUUCACCAGGACCCAAUGUAAGUUGUAAAGCACAGGAUGAUUGUUGAACAGGGCCAUGAGGAUUAAGACUUGGGUGGCAGAGAUUUGGAGACCUGAAGUUUAGGAUAGGGGAGACCAGCCAGAAAGACAUGAGAAUAGUCAAGUGCAGAAUUAACAAGGACAUGAAUGGGAGUUUCAGCAGAGGAUGAGCUGGGUCUGGGGGCAGAGGAGAACACAGUCCCUUGGAACCAAGGCAUCAUCGAUCAAGAAUGCCAUCAAAGAAUCCGAGUAAAGCCAGUGAAAAAUAGAUAUGGUCACUGGAGAUCAAUUAGCUCAUCCGAUGGACACUGCUGCUAGAGUUUCUCAGGGCAGUGCCCUGGGCCUGGACAAUCUCAGCCGCUUCUUCAAUGGCAUCCUUGCAAGGUGGGGUAAUUAGUGCAAAUACCCACUGAUGGCUGCACACCAGCCAGCUUGACUUGUUUCCUUCCAAUUUGUACUUCUGAGUUCACAGAGCUGCUCGGACUCACAGGCAAUGGAAUCUGUGUAACAUUCAGGUGUGGACUGGUAAUUGGCAAGUAACAGUUAUCCACACAGAAGUUCCAGGCAAUGACCAGAAGUAAGAGAGAGUCAUGGGCCAAAGGACUUGUACUGUGCAGUAAUGUUCUAUGUACUAUGUUCUCAAGGGGCAGUCUGAUAGUCACUCAACAAUAGACAUGCAAUCAUCAGUCAUUAUCAAUGACUCCUCCUUUCCUCUUGCCUUCUGGUUACUCCUUUUUUUUGCUGCUAUUUUGGGCAGCCUGCAGAUAACGAACACUGAGCUGAACUGGACUCAUUCGGUUUUGUGUUUCGUAUUCUGUACUUUUCGCUCAUUUUUCAUGUUGCUGUUUGUGUGAUUUGUUUUUUUUUGUACACGGGGAGGGGUUGAUGUUUAUCUUUGAAGGGGUUCCAUGAUUUUCUUUGUUUUGUGGCUGUCUUUAGGGAAGGGUUGUACACUGCAUACAUAUUUUGAUAAUAAAUGGACUUUGAAUUACAGUGUUUCUCAUCCUUAUAACAAUCAUUUGAGUUUGAAAUAAUCCAGAAGCGGAGGAAUUCUGUAAAGCCCAUAGUGAAUGCAAUAUUUCCUUAUGUAUUCACUUCAACAAAGGAUGUUGCUGGGGUCUGCACAUGUGGGUGCUUCAAAGUGACAAAAAUCACCAGAAUUCCCUCCAAGUUAAAUGAUAGGUGGCAAUUCCUGUGGACCAUAAAGACAAAUAACGCCUUUCAAACCCUAAUGAUCUUGAAAUUGCAUAUGGUACGUCAUCCAUGAUAGACAGAUGCUGCAAGAGAAAAGAACAGGACACACCUGAUUAGGCCUGAAUACAGUUGGAACUCAACCACUGUCACCCUGGGUAAUUUCCUGCUUAGCUUUCACUUUCAUGGUCAACUUGGCAUUAAGAUAAAGAAACAUCAGUUGUCCGGAAGUGCUGCCGUUUUGCUUCCUUCCUUUGAAAAGCACACUGCCCCUUUUGUUUUACUAAGCAGUGGAACAAGGUUUCUCCUGUGGAUUUGCUCAAUGCAUCCUAGUAAGGAAUAUUCAAUAUUUGCAAAUAGGAGUGAUAUAUUGUUUUACAAAGGCAAUAACCACACACUCAAUUGCUAAGCGACUUUGAAAUAAUCAGCAACAACAGCAUAAAAACACCUGACAUUCAGACCUCGACAGCUGUGAACAAUUAAAACUAGUCUGGUCCGCUGGGAAUCAUUCAAAGAAUGACUUGUCCAUGAAGACUAGGAGAAUGGCUGAAGGCACAUUGAGAGCUAACUCACACUUUACUAGUCUAUUACUGGUGUUGGCAGAAGUCUCAGGCUUUGUACCAUUUCACCUAAAAGGAAAUCAUGUGAGAUAAACCAGUUCCCAACUUUUCGUUUGAGUUUGGCUGCAGAGUAAAUCUCACAUUGCUGCUGUAACCCACAAGUAGCUCAACUUCACAUAAUCCAAGUCACAAAUUUGCACCAGUUGUUCCAUAGUCAGAUGAAAUUUGAACAUAUUGUAAAAUAGUACAAAAUAGGGUCAGGACCUUCAACCCACCAUGUCUGCACUGAACAUGAUGCCAAAUUAAAUGAAAUCUUUCCAGUCAAGAUAGUGCCAAGCUACAGCCUCCAUCGAGAUUGUGGUUCAGACAUAGUUGUUUUUUUAAGUUAGUAGGGAUGGUUUUGGGACAGAGAAAGGAGUCAGGAGUCUAGUUAGGGAUUAUGGACAAAUUAGAGGUCAGAUUAGGGUUUAGGUACAGGGAUGUGAAGGAAUUAGAGGUCAGGCUGGACUCUAGCCCUCAGCUCUGUGCGCCUUGUUUGAUGGCCAGUGACGUGGACAGGGUGACAAAAGAAAUCUGGAGUGUAGGCCUCCGCUCCACACUCAAAGGCUAGUGAUGUAGAUGUGUGCUGAAGCACCUUCGUGGCUGUCGUGCUGGAAAGUGCUAUAGCUGAGAAGCAGCAAGGAUGAGGGCUGGUGGCCUUGCGAGGAGGAGUCAUGGGGCCAGUGAUUUCUAGGUAUGCAAAUUGGGGAAUCCCGAGUCCAAGGCCUAGAGUUCAUGAUGCCAUCGUUAGCAGGUCUGGGGGCUGAUAGUGAAGAUUGAAGCAUAGAGGAUAAUUGGAAGUCUAGAAGUUGAAGCCUAAUUGCUGAAGCCCUGGAUCUACGAGUCUGAGAGUGCAGUGGAGAAGAUGGAGGCCCGUUGUCUCCGAGUCUAUGAGUCCACUGUAGGAUGGAGGCCCAGAGGCCUGCCCUGGGGCUGGAGGAAUGUCUGUUUGUGUGUGGGUGUGUGGAGUGAGUGGGAUGGAAGAAAGGGGCUUGUUUUGCUGAUGUUUUGUUGCUUGUUGUGUUCUAUGUAGUUCUGCCAAGCAUUAUGGCCAUACCGCAUUGCCCAAGCAUGCGUGGUGCAUUUGUGAGUUGCUCCCAGCGCAAACUUAAGUUGUGUUGGUUGUUAACACAAAUGUUGCAUUUCGCUGUAUAUUUCUGGGUAUGUACAUGUGAUAAAUAAAUAAAUCUGAAUCUGAAUAUUUUGUGAUCUAUAUCCCUGAAUCUUCAAGUGUCCACUGAACAGUCUAUCUAUUGCCUCUGCUAUGUUUGGCUAUCGGAUCCAAGCACCCAAAACUCACAGUGGAAAAAACAUACCUUGCACUUACAUCUCCUUUAAACUGUCCCCAUUUCACAUUAAACGUAUGUUCUCUGUUUACAUUUCUACCUUGGGAACAAGGUUCUGACACUCCACCCUGUCUUUGUCUCUCAUUAUUUUAUAAAUGGCUAUCCAGUGUCCCCUCAACUUCUGACACUCUAGUGCAGGGGUUCCCAACCUUUUUUAUGCCAUGGACCAAUACCAUUUUGCAAGGGGUCCAUGGACCAUAGGUUCAGAACCUUUGUUCAAGAAAAAACAGCCCAAGUUUGCCCAACCUACCUAAAAAGGUAAAAAUUCAUUGCAAAAUAUUGUGGUGAAUUAUUUUAAACUGAAGGAUAAAAUUCUGACCAGAAACAAAUGAUGAAAGAUACCAAAUCAAAACAAAGGUAGUAUACUUGGUUGACACAAAAUAGCAGCAAGGUACUGCACCACAGCAAACAGGUUCACCUUGGUUCCUAACUGGCAGGAUUAGUGACCUCAGCUCCCCUGGAGUCAUU